AAGUCGUAACAAGGUUUCCGUAGGUGAACCUGCGGAAGGAUCAUUAAAAGAAUCUGCCUCACCCACAGAUAUCUUAUCACGUGUGAACUGUCUAGCUUGUCACCCGAGAUGGACACCUCAGAGAUCUCGGUCUUUGGGGGGUCUGUCUUGGGGGUCAGCUUAUGCUACUGAUUGUGCCCCAAGAAUCUUUAAAAGACUAUAAAACUUUUAGCAAUGGAUCUCUAGGCUCCU
rnacentral:misc_RNA from 1 species